GACGAACGCUGGCGGCGUGCCUAAUACAUGCAAGUUGAGCGAUGAAGCUUGGUGCUUGCACCAAUUUGAUGAGCAGCGAACGGGUGAGUAACGCGUGGGGAAUCUGCCUUUGAGCGGGGGACAACAUUUGGAAACGAAUGCUAAUACCGCAUAAAAACUUUAAACAUAAGUUUUAAGUUUGAAAGAUGCAAUUGCAUCACUCAAAGAUGAUCCCGCGUUGUAUUAGCUAGUUGGUGAGGUAAAGGCUCACCAAGGCGAUGAUACAUAGCCGACCUGAGAGGGUGAUCGGCCACCUUGGGACUGAGACACGGCCCAAACUCCUACGGGAGGCAGCAGUAGGGAAUCUUCGGCAAUGGACGAAAGGCUGAACGAGCAACGCCGCGUGAGUGAAGAAGGUUUUCGGAUCGUAAAACUCUGUUGGUAGAGAAGAACGUUGGUGAGAGUGGAAAGCUCAUCAAGUGACGGUAACUACCCAGAAAGGGACGGCUAACUACGUG
rnacentral:rRNA from 1 species